AACGAACGCUGGCGGCAUGCCUAACACAUGCAAGUCGAACGAGACCUUCGGGUCUAGUGGCGCACGGGUGCGUAACGCGUGGGAACCUGCCCUUAGGUUCGGAAUAACUCCCCGAAAGGGGUGCUAAUACCGGAUAAUGUCUUCGGACCAAAGAUUUAUCGCCUUUGGAUGGGCCCGCGUUGGAUUAGCUAGUUGGUAGGGUAAAAGCCUACCAAGGCGACGAUCCAUAGCUGGUCUGAGAGGAUGAUCAGCCACACUGGGGCUGAGACACGGCCCAGACUCCUGCGGGAGGCAGCAGUGGGGAAUAUUGGACAAUGGGCGAAAGCCUGAUCCAGCAAUGCCGCGUGAGUGAUGAAGGCCUUAGGGUUGUAAAGCUCUUUUACCCGGGAUGAUAAUGACAGUACCGGGAGAAUAAGCUCCGGCUAACUCCGUG
rnacentral:rRNA from 1 species